rnacentral:tRNA from 1 species
CUACUUGAGCAAGAAUAGUGUGCAUUAGAUUUAGGAUCUGAAUAAAUAGAUAUUUCUAUAAGUAGAAA